rnacentral:rRNA from 1 species
CACGUAGGGUGCGAGCGUUGUCCGGAAUUAUUGGGCGUAAAGAGCUCGUAGGCGGUGUGUCGCGUCGGCCGUGAAAACCUGCAGCUUAACUGUGGGCGUGCGGUCGAUACGGGCAUCACUGGAGUUCGGCAGGGGAGACUGGAAUUCCUGGUGUAGCGGUGAAAUGCGCAGAUAUCAGGAGGAACACCGGUGGCGAAGGCGGGUCUCUGGGCCGAUACUGACGCUGGGGAGCGAAAGCGUGGGGAGCGAACAGG